rnacentral:rRNA from 1 species
GGGCGUGGUGCGCGGCGCGCCGCGCCGCGCCUAACACAUGCAAGUCGAACGAGAGAGAAGGAGCUUGCUUCUUCGAUCGAGUGGCGAACGGGUGAGUAACGCGUGAGGAACCUGCCUCAAAGAGGGGGACAACAGUUGGAAACGACUGCUAAUACCGCAUAAGCCCACGGGUCGGCAUCGACCAGAGGGAAAGGGAGCAAUCCGCUUUGAGAUGGCCUCGCGUCCGAUUAGCUAGUUGGUGAGGUAAUGGCCCACCAAGGCGACGAUCGGUAGCCGGACUGAGAGGUUGAACGGCCACAUUGGGACUGAGACACGGCCCAGACUCCUACGGGAGGCAGCAGUGGGGAAUAUUGCACAAUGGGGGAAACCCUGAUGCAGCGACGCCGCGUGGAGGAAGAAGGUCUUCGGAUUGUAAACUCCUGUUGUUGAGGAAGAUAAUGACGGUACUCANCNNGGAAGUGACGGCUAACUACGUGCCAGCAGCCGCGGUAAAACGUAGGUCACAAGCGUUGUCCGGAAUUACUGGGUGUAAAGGGAGCGCANGCGGGAAGACAAGUUGGAAGUGAAAUCCAUGGGCUCAACUCAUGAACUGCUUUCAAAACUGUUUUUCUUGAGUA